rnacentral:rRNA from 1 species
CCCAGACUCCUACGGGAGGCAGCAGUGGGGAAUAUUCGGCAAUGGGCGCAAGCCUGACCCAGCAACGCCGCGUGAAGGAAGAAGGCUUUCGGGUUGUAAACUUCUUUUGUCAGGGACGAAGCAAGUGACGGUACCUGACGAAUAAGCCACGGCUAACUACGUGCCAGCAGCCGCGGUAAUACGUAGGUGGCAAGCGUUAUCCGGAUUUAUUGGGUGUAAAGGGCGUGUAGGCGGGAAUGCAAGUCAGAUGUGAAAACUAUGGGCUCAACCCAUAGCCUGCAUUUGAAACUGUAUUUCUUGAGUGCUGGAGAGGCAAUCGGAAUUCCGUGUGUAGCGGUGAAAUGCGUAGAUAUACGGAGGAACACCAGUGGCGAAGGCUGAUUGCUGGACAGUAACUGACGCUGAGGCGCGAAAGCGUGGGGAGCAAACAGGAUUAGAUACCCCAGUA